rnacentral:tRNA from 1 species
UCCCUGGUGGCUCAGACAGUAAAGAAUCUGCCUGCAAUGCAGGAGAUCUGGGUUCAAUCCCUAGGUCGGGAA